GACCUCGGAUCAAGUAGGGAUACCCGCUGAACUUAAGCAUAUCAAUA
rnacentral:rRNA from 1 species